GGACGUGUGCCCGAACUGUUAGGGGCUACUUUGAUAGAGUAGACAACAGGGGUUAAAAUCCCCUCACUUCC
rnacentral:tRNA from 1 species